GUAAAAGCUCAAAUCAUCAGUGAUGAAGAUGAUUUUUAGAUGCUUUUACCUUUGACUGACUAUUAUUAUUUUUUUGUUAUCCAUGUGUGAUUUUAAUAUCAGCACCUUAAACCUGAAUGGGGCCAGGGCUGAUUUUAAAUGAGACGCUCUUUUUAAACUGAUGGAGACUAAAAGAAUAGAUAUAAUGUUUGUCCAAGAAACCCAUAGCAGCUUAGACAAUGAAAGUGAUUGGAAGAGGGCUUUUAAUGGGGAGGUAGUUUUAAGCCACAAGUCCAGUCUGAGCGGAGGGGUGGGGAUUUUAUUUGCAGAGUUUUUUACCCCUUUCUUUUACUGUCCAUGAGAUCAUUCCAGGUGUUUUAUUGAAGGUGAAAGCUGUCUUUGAAAAUCUAAAAUGUGUGUUUUUAAAUGUCUAUGCUCCUACUAAUGCUGUGGAGCAAAUAGCAUUUUUAAACAUUUUAAAUGACUGUGUUAGGGAUUGUGAGAAUGAUGGUUUUAUGUUUUUAGGGGGAGAUUUUAACUGCACAGUUGAUCCAUCCCUGGACAGGAACCAUCCUAAUCACACACACUCAGGCGGCUGACAGAGAGUCAGGAGCUGAGUGAUGUGUGGAGGGUUUUUAACAGUCAGCACAGACAGUACACCUGGAGUCACAGUAGGGAGGGGGUUUUAACUCUGGUUAUAUGAUUAUAAAAUCCUGUCCAAGGCUCUGUCCGUCAAACUGAGGGAGGUGAUGGCGUCCAUCAUCUACCUUGACCAGACCUACUGUGUGCCUGGCAGGCUCAUCAGUGACAAUGUCACUUUAAUUCGAGACGUUUUGGAGCUCUCCAGUUCAUUGGGUAUAGAGACUGGUCUUAUUUCCAUAGAUCAGGAAAAGGCUUUUGACCGAGUUGAACACCAGUACCUGUGGCAGACUCUGGCUGCCUUUGGGUUCAACCCUGGGUUCAUAGCCAUGGUCCGGGUUCUCUAUAGUGACAUUGCGAGUGUUCUGAAAAUUAACAGCGGGCUGAGUGCACCAUUUGAGAGCCAGAGAGGGGUGAGGCAGGGCUGCUCUCUCUCUGGGAUGUUGUAUUCAGUUGCCAUCGAGCCUCUCCUUCACAAGCUGCGAGACAAACUGAGUGGUGUGUGUUUCCCCUGGUGCCCUGUGUCUUUCAAACUGUCUGUUUACGCUGAUGAUCUUAUUGUUUUAGUCAAAACACAAAGAGACAUUGACAUUUUAACUGACACUGCUGAUAAUUUUGGUUUUAUCUCCUCAGCAAAGGUGAACUGGGGGAAAAGCGAGGCUCUGAUGGCUGGAGGGGAGCUGGGGGGUCGGCUCAGGCUGCCCGGUGGCCUACAGUGGAAAAAAGGAGGACUCCGGUACCUUGGGGUCUUCCUAGGAGAUGAGACCUACAUACAGAAAACUGGGACAAUGUCCUGGAGCAGGUUAAAGGUCGGCUGGAGAAGUGGAGGAGGCUGCUCCCUAAAAUGUCUUACAGAGGCCAAACCUUAAUCACAAAUAAUCUGGGCUCAUCUUCCCUGUGGCACCGGCUAGCCUGUGUCGAUCCUCCGGUUUCUCUCCUCUCCAAGAUUCAAUCGUUUUUAGUUGAUUUUAUUUGGGACAGACUCCACUGGGUCCCACAGAGUGUCCUGUUUUUACGGAAAGAGGAGGGGGGCCAGGGCCUGGUCCACCUGGCCAGCAGGGGCGCAGCCUUCAGGCUCCAAUUCAUUCAAAGGCUGCUGACGGGGCCGAAGGACACUCUGUGGAGGCCUCUGUCCCGCCGCAUUCUGCAGGGUUUUAACAGCCUGGGUCAGAAUUUUAAUUUGUUUUUAUUGAACACACAGAACAUGAGCACAUCUUCUCUGCCUGGUUUUUAUCAAAGUGUUUUUAAGGUUUGGUGCCUGCUGAGGAAGGAGAGGAGGGGCCAGGUGGACUCUACACACUGGCUCCUGCAGGAACCGGUCAUGUGGGGGACCCGUUUAGACCUUCCCAGCUGGGCAGGUCAGAGUCUGGAGAAAAGACUGCAGACUUCGGGGAUCGUCACUCUGGGGCAGGUGGUGGAGCUGACGGGACCCCGAAUGGAUGACCCCGAAUGGACUCGCUGCCCGGCUGGGACUUUCAUCAAUGAGGGUCCCACAAAAACUCUUGGACCACUGGAGACAGAGACUCACAGGACACGACCGUCUGCUUUUAAACUCCCCUUUUAACCAGACAGUGACUGAAAAAGGCUCCUUUCCUUCCAUCUUCCUGGCAACGGAUUUUAAAGACUGUUCUGGCCCGCUGUUGGAUUUUAACCACCCUGCCCCUUUGGAGGGCACACCAGGAAAAACAUUUUAUAAAAUCAUGGUUAAAACAAAUACAGAAGAAAACUGGACAAAAUACCUGACACCCCAUGGAGGAACUAUCUGCGCCUGGCUCCUGAGGCCAGGCCUGAGUGGAGGGCCUUCUACAAACCUCCACUCUCAAAAAGACAUGCAGAUGUUCACUGCAGAGUCCUCCAUGGGGUCAUCGCAGUGAACUCUUUUAUAUCGAACAUUAACCCGGCAGUAGAGGACACAUGUCCCUACUGCCCCCAGAGAGAAACAUUUUUUUUUUUACUGUUUUUAUGAAUGUCUGCGUCUUUUAC